UCACUCACAUAGCAGAUUUCGCCUCAGCCAGGGUUACCAGCCUGUUCAUGCCUUUAGCAGUGGUACAUCUAAUCUGUGCAAGAAAACAUCCACAAUUUAAUUAGAAAAUAGAGUAAUUUGGUUUUGACUGAUACAGCAUGAGGUGAAUGACUAAGUGAAAGCGACUUAUAUGUAGGGCUGGUGUUUCUUCCAGGAUUUGAUGAUAAGAUGAAACUGUGUAUCUGUCUGAUUCUAUUUGAUUACUGUCUCCUACACUACAUGUUGUGACUUACAAUGUAGGAUCUUAAUUUGAGGCAAUUUGCUACAGCAAGAAAAUUGUCCUGCAGCAACAAGAAAUGUGAAUUAUUAUGUGGAAUAUAAUUCAUGUAUAUUUUUGUAGGUGUUGAUACAUUUUUUGUUAGGGCAAAUCAAUUCUGAAAUUUUGAAAGUGGAAAUGAAAACUUUAGAACCUUUUUUAAAGCUAAAAUACACUACAAGUUUGCAGCAACAAAAGAGUGAUCAAAUGAAGAUAGUACAUCUGUAAGGUCCAUGUGCUAAAGGAUACUUCCUAUUUCUUUUUAUCUUGUCAAAGCUUGUGCUUGUCAAGGCCAAACAAGGAAAUUAAUCGUUGUAGUUGUAAACAGAAAUUGGAUAUCAGCUUAUUUUCUCGUUUAUGGUGUCCAAAUUCGGCAUUGAGUAACAGAAAACAAAUAACAACAACAUUUAUCGCAUUUUUCGUUUAAUUCAUAGCUGGAAAUACACGCCGCCUAAUAUAAUAUUCACAGUGCAUAGCAGGUGUUUGCUUACAGUCUGGGUUGAGCUGCAGUGUCAGCAGCAGAGGGCUGGGGACGAACAAAAUCUGAAUACAAGCUGUGGUUGGAUAGGCAGUGGCAUGGCGAGAGAGAUUGGGGUUGUUUGGGAGGGAGUUUAGCCCCUCUGUGGUUCUUCCUGCUAUUCUACCUUGGUUUCUCCCUCAGCCAGUGAUAGAUCUAGGGUUGCUUGAGGCUAAGAGCUGUUGAGGAAGGAGUAGAUUCAGUUGUAAGUGAACAUUUAAGAACACAGUACUAUGCUUUCUUGAAUAUAUUCACAGAUGUAUCUAAGGACCCUAAAACAGGGAGGACAGCAGCAGCUUUUAGUGUUCCUGUGUUUAAGGUGGCAGUGACGAAAAGAGCCACGGAUCAUUUAUCUGUUUACACAAUGGAGUUGUUGACCAUACUAUUGGCUGCAGAGUGGGUGGAGGUGGGGAGGCCAGACAGAGUAGUCAUCUGCUCUGACACCUGUGCAGCACUGAUGACCUUAAAUGAAUUUGUGUCUCAGAGCAGACAGGAUGUGUUGUAUGAGGUUUUGCAGCGCUUGUAUAAGGUGAGACAGAUUGUGGUAUUUGUGAUGUUCCUCUGGGUACCAGCUCCAGUGGGAGUAGAGAGGAAUGAGGUGGUGGAUGUUAUCACCAGCCUCUUAAACAUCCUAAUGUUGAGAUGGAAUUGUCAAUCAGUAAAGCAGAAGCCAAGAGGUUAAUAAGAACAGUGGUUAAAAACAAAUGGCAAGAGUUGUGGAAUAAGGGAGAGAAAGGGAAGACCCCUGUAUAAGAUCCAGGAAAAGGUGGGGACAGGUAGGUCCUCAGGCCGAGAGAGAAGGGAGGAAAGUGUAGUCACAAGGCUGAGACUGUGACACACAAGUACAUUGAAAUUCGUAGGGAAACAUUCAACUGGGUGGUGUGAUCAUUGUCAGGAGGAGAUGGAGACAGUUGAACAUGUUCAGUUUCAGUGCCAGGAAUAUGUGAGGGGAAAGGGAGUGAUUGUUAUUAGAUUUGAGGAAUAAUGGUGUUAAGUGAACUGGGGAAAUCUUCAGGGGCUGUAGUAUUUAAUUAUGUAUUUCGUUUCCCUAGGGAGAUGAGAUUAUUGGGUAUGAUUUAGACCUUCACUCUCUCUGGUCCACAUUCCAGUCAAUUUGGUGGCGGUAAUGCACCUGAAAGUUGGUUGCCAACCGCCAUAUACAAUCCACAGAAGAAGAAGCAGGAGUAGAGCGCUCGUCAAAGGAGUCAGCCCAGGGGUGACGACGGAUGUUCAUGUUGAAUACAUGAAGAGAAUUCCUGGUGUGGUUGGUGCCCGGUGUCUGACCCGCUGGGUGAAUGGGGAAAAAGAAGGAAGUCUGUCGGUCCUGUUUUUUUUUUUAUAAAGAGCAAAUACCUACGCAUGUGAAUCUUGGUUAUGUAAGAACUUUCGUCCAAAAACCACUACGGUGUAAGAAUUGUAAAGGAUUUGGCCAUAUUUCAAGUGUGUGCAGACGAACAGAGUAUAGUGAAGAACGGUGUGUAGAAGGAGAACGGUGUUGCAAUUGUGGUAGGGAUCAUGUCCCUGGAGUGCCCUGUAAGGGUGAAGGAAAUUGAGGUGGCAAAUGUUAAAGCGGUCAAAUCAAAUCGCUUAUGCGGAGGCAAUUUAAAAUAAUUGAUAAAACAAGUGAUGCUAGUGAAGAUAUGGUAGUGGAUACACCACAGCCUGUAGUAAAUGUUUGCUGCCAGACAGAAUAAACCCUGUGUGUCUUUAAAAAGGUGAUUUAUUUUUUUUGCGUUCAUUGCCACAGUUAGAAACUGUAGAGCACAAGUCAUAAAGAACUAAAACAAACUGGACAUUAUUGUGGCUGUGGCAGAAACUUUUUUGGGACUCAAGGAUUUUACAUCUGAAGACUUGCAAGAGGUACUGGUGCGGGAAGACCUGUCCUCCCAGGUUCCCCUUGAGCCUGUGUAGGGAUCAGAUCUAUUUCAUUAAUUUAUUUAUAACAGAAAAGUUGUUAGAUUUUAUUAAGUUUUGGGGGGGAAUCCUGUUUCCAUCCCGUGCAGUUGGUGUCGGGAUGCACAUUAAAUUGUGUGGUCGCCAAGAUGCCGUAGAAGACGUUUCGGGCAGGACAGAGAAAGGAUUAAACAAUUGUGUGACAGCCAGGAAGAUACAACUUGGAAUGUUAGCUAAGAUGCUUAACUUAUCAUUAAGUUAGCAUGCAAUAGGACGAACUCCACAACAACUGUACAUAGUUGGCUUGCACCACCUGGAUAGCUAGCAUUAGCCGGCUAACGUUACUGCUUACUAGUAGCAAGCUAGCCCUACCUGGCUACUGGCUAUAGUCAUGCUAGCUAGUAGUAGCUAGUGGAAGUAAGUUAGUCCCUCAACCAGCUACAAGAUGAAGCUGCCCGGCCAGAGGUACCUGCUGCAGAAAGGUGAGAUUUCUACAGUACUUUCUGUAGCUAAUUUAGCUAGAUAGUCUGUCUGGCUGGUGCUUAUUGACUGAGUAGGCUAAUAAUGAACUGCAGUUAUUGUGAAUGGUUACCUAUCUGUCCCUUUGCAUAGCUAUUUCUUACACAUGCAAUACAACCAUGUCCAGUUAGGCUACAGUCAAUGCUGAUAUUGUGUGUAUGUGUGUGGGGGGUCAGAAUGUGCCUGCAAAAGGACAGACUGCAUCUGAGCAGAUCAUCAUCAACUUCAUCCAGUUACAUCAGCCAAUACAGUAAGUUACAAUCGGGGUCUGCCCUGACAGUCCUGAAGAACGACGGAGAGGACUACAUCUUCACCACGGCAAACAGAUCCCUCUGUCCAGACCUUCAGUUCUGUUACCGGUAAGUUAGGGAAGGUGCCUAAGAAACUGGGUGAUAUUUUUAGAAUUCAGGAAAGUCUUGUGUUAUGAUGAUUAUCAUCAUUUCCUUUUGAAUCGUGGUAAGUUUUACAGUAUUAGUAGUGAACCGGUGUAGGAAGUUGUGGACACAUCAUUGUGCUACUUUUACCUUUUGCACAGAUUGUACCACAGUGUGUUCAGGCAGGAGUAUGGGGAACAGAAUGGGCCUGAGAUGCCCUCAGCCCUAGAGAGGCAGGUUGAGGAGUAUAAUCUUAGGUGCCGGCGAGAUCUGCGCCAAGAUUGAGAACCUCUGUAGGAACCCCUCGCGUGGCUAUCUACUCCCCACUGAUGAAGCGUUUCCAUCAGGCCAGACACAGUGAGGAGCUCUGCUUCAUUGAUUUCUCUGGGAACAUGGAACAAGAGAAGUGCAGAGGUUUUUUCUUUUCCUCCUCUUACCCACACCUGUGCUGGCGGUCUCCCCCUUGGGGUUAUCCUGAUUCAGUCUGAGGAUGAGGCCACAAUCCUCGAGUGCCUUCAACUGUUGAAGGACUUCCUUAGGGAGGAUGCCUUUGCAGGGAGUGGUCAGGCUGAUCCUCACCUUAUUACAGAUGACUGCAAGGCAAAGAGGGGAGCAUUAGGGAGGCCAUUUCCAGGGUCCAAACUACUCCUCUGCACCUUCCACCUACUCCAGGCAGUGUGACUGUGGAGCAAGGAGAGAGGAGUAGACCUGAGAGACAAGCAGACCCUCUUUGCUGUCCCAAAGACAUCAUGUAUGACAGGGAAGAGAUGGUUGAGCCCCUCUAUCAGCAGGCAAAACAAAACACAUUUGUAGCCAGGUUAGUGUAGUAUAACAGUAUAAUGAGGUGCAGUCUAUUAACUUAUGCUUUAUUCUCAGUAACUUUUCAGUUGUUGUAUUUUUUCUAAUUGAAAUUUACCCAGUCCUUGUUUGGGAUAUGUUGUUAUUUGGGAUACAUUUUCCCUUUAUACUUUGUAACCAGUAUGUGAUAGUUCAAGUACAUAUUUUACUCUAAUUACAGGUACAAGAAAUUCAUGACCUACUUCCAUCGACUGUUCAGUCGUCUAGAGUGUUGGGCACUCAGCUAUCGGGAGGAGCUGCCAACCUGAGGGAAUGACACCAGUAAGGCAGCAUGCGGAUCCUUAAGGAUAAAAUCCUCCAGAGGACGAAAGUGUUAAAUCUCCCUGCGACUGGAGGCUUACUAUGAGGCACUUGUCCUUGGCCGCUGGGAAAUGUUCCAGCGCUCACAUGUUCUGGCCCAGGAUAGUAGCGUUAACCCAUCUGAUAUCGAGCAGGUGAAAUAGUGAUGAAUACAGGUGUGGGGAGAAGCAGUACAGGGUGAAGGGCACCACACCAGGCCAGACCUAUACUGUGGACAUGUAUUUGUCCAGUAGGGCACACGGGAGCUCCAUGCAGACACCAGGCUGCUGUGGUCCAGAUAUACAAAUGCCUGUCCAGCAACAUCCUCCUGACAACAUCGGAGAUGAGGGCUGAGUUGCUGAAGACAACAGGAGAUGGAUACCCUUUCACUACCCGUGGUGUGGGAAAAGGAUAUAGCCACACCCUGGAAAGAUGUUUGUGGUGCACUCACUCAUAACAUGUUUUUGAGUGAUUAAUGAGUAUCAUCUUGAAGCUUGAUAAGAAGAAAUCAGUUACAAGGCAAAAAGACAGAUUGAGGCCUUCAAUCAAACUGAGGACAGAGAAAUAUGUGUUCACUGGGUCAAGGCUUCUUGCAUGCAUGGCUUUUAGAUGCUAAAAACAAGUGGUUAAUUGCCUGAUGAAGAUUGACACUGCGCAUGGGAAUAUCUUUGGUUUGUCUCUGACAUUCAGAAGCUGAGUGCAUGUAUUCAAAAAUCGUUGGACGACGGACUUCCACAGGGCCGCCAUCUACAAAGUUCACUCAAAAUGCAAUAGUUCUGAACCAAGUUAGAUUUUUAAUUCACAUUCACAUCUCUUUUAAACUUCAAUUGGUUAAUAGCUAAUUGCUCAGUUAUCACUUGGCUCAUGUAAAUUCUUUAGUUUCCCCUCUAAACAUCCUAAGGUCAACAUCCUCAUAGUGUUCACAUUUUUGUCAUGUAAAUGUUGUUGCUACAUAAAAAGAUUAAAUGAACAAUUUGGGAAAUA